AGCAGAUUUUGUCAGAAUGGGCUGUAGUUUUAUUCUUAAAUCUCAUGGCCAAAGCCCACAUCAGCGCAGACAUGUCUGUGACCUGAGAUUUUGUGUCAGAGCGUGAAGCAUCCUGGUACGUGUCAGAACGUACCGUUUAGAGCAGAUUUCAUUCUGCUGAAUCCCUUGAAGCAGAUUUGACAAGAAAUGGCUGUACCUUCAGUUUCAACUGCUCAUGGCCAAGGCCGUCAUCAGUGCAGUCUGCCCUGGUGCUCUUCUGAAGGGGAGACUCUAUUCUGCGGGAUCUUUGAAGCAGAUUUGUCCAGAAUGGGCUGUAGUUUUGGUCUUACAUUCUCAUGGCCAAAACCUACAUCAGCGCAGACAAGUCUGUGACCUGAGAUUUUGUGUCAGAGCGUGAAGCAUCCUGGUACGUGUCAGGUAAGUGAAGAAUAAGCCCAAGGGCUGGGAUCUGUAUGGUCCUGUGCAUUCCCCUUCUUAAUCCUCUGACACCCCGAGAAAAUUUCCACAUUAGGAGCACAGACUCCAGGCUCUGGCCUAAUUGUGGCAAUAUUCUACACCUCAGGCUGUAGCUCGAGUCUUCCUCCCUUUCCCACAGUCAGGACAAACCUCUGCCACCCGCCAGUCCCACAGCCGCUCAGACCCAACCAA